rnacentral:rRNA from 1 species
UACGUAGGGUGCAAGCGUUGCCCGGAUUUAUUGGGCGUAAAGAGCUCGUAGGCGGUUCGUCGCGUCGGCUGUGAAAUCCCGAGGCUCAACCUCGGGUCUGCAGUCGAUACGGGCGGACUGGAGUUCGGCAGGGGAGACUGGAAUUCCUGGUGUAGCGGUGAAAUGCGCAGAUAUCAGGAGGAACACCGGUGGCGAAGGCGGGUCUCUGGGCCGAUACUGACGCUGAGGAGCGAAAGCGUGGGGAGCAAACAGG